rnacentral:misc_RNA from 1 species
UCUCUACUCUUCUCUCUUCUUUUUACUCUACUAGUCAUAUUGUAUUAUUUAUUUUUAUUUUUUUAAUAUCAUUUCUAUGCAAAUUGAUCUGCAUUUUUUACUUUCCAAGAUCCCAUUAUAUUUUCCCACUUGUUCAAGAUGACAAAUAGCAGGUAUCUAGCAAUGCAGUUUGAUUCCCAUUUUAAGAUGGGAGACUUAAUACAAUGCGUGUUGUUGAUAUUAUGGAUGGCACAUUGUGCGAAGAACAUAUAUUGAGUAGCAUCAAUCAAGUAAAUACACUUCCAUCAAACAUAUUGUAAAACUAGAUUCAUCCUAGAAGUCGGUACACUUGGAAAGAUGUUUAGUUAGAUAUGAAAAUCUACUCCAUGUACUCUCACCUAAUAAUUUAAGUUGGCCAAUCAGCUUAAAAAAACACAAAAAUUAUGGAGAUCUUAGCCAAUCUUGUCAAUUAUACCAAUUAUAUCCUCAACUUUAAGGCAUUGAUGUCAAGUUUGUUUAGCUAUCUUUUGCAUUCAACUUUUAUAUAGACACCCGACACAUUAACAUGUUCUGUGACUAAAAAACAAACAUGCGUCUUUAAGUAUUUAUUAAAAAGUAGAUGUGUGUGUGUCAACAUCUGUAGCAUCUAUUACAAUUUUUAAUAUUUUCUUUCCUUUUCUUUUUCCUUCAAUUUUUAAUAAUUGCUAAUGCAAAGAUAUAUCUGUAAUGCAAAGAUAUAUCAGUAUGCUACAUUACCGUACGUAGGAACAAUAUUUAUACAAAUUAGAUCAACACAAUCAAGUGAUAGGUCUAUAUUUAGUCUCACUGUUGAGCAAGUGGAGAGAGAGAGAGAGAGA